rnacentral:rRNA from 1 species
UGGGGAAUUUUGGACAAUGGGCGCAAGCCUGAUCCAGCCAUGCCGCGUGUGGGAAGAAGGCCUUCGGGUUGUAAACCGCUUUUGUCAGGGAAGAAACGCUCUGGGCUAAUACCCUGGGGUAAUGACGGUACCUGAAGAAUAAGCACCGGCUAACUACGUGCCAGCAGCCGCGGUAAUACGUAGGGUGCAAGCGUUAAUCGGAAUUACUGGGCGUAAAGCGUGCGCAGGCGGUUAUGCAAGACAGAUGUGAAAUCCCCGGGCUCAACCUGGGAACUGCAUUUGUGACUGUAUAGCUAGAGUACGGUAGAGGGGGAUGGAAUUCCGCGUGUAGCAGUGAAAUGCGUAGAUAUGCGGAGGAACACCGAUGGCGAAGGCAAUCCCCUGGACCUGUACUGACGCUCAUGCACGAAAGCGUGGGGAGCAAACAGGAUUAGAUACCCUGGUAGUCCCUGAGCGGGCUGGCAAGGCGCAU